AGAGUUUGAUCCUGGCUCAGGAUGAACGCUGGCGGCGUGCCUAACACAUGCAAGUCGAGCGAUUUACUUCCGUCAAAAGCGGCGGACGGGUGAAUAGCGCAUGGGUAACCUGCCUCAUACCCAUGGAUAACAUACCAAACGGUAUGCUAGUACAAGAUGAUAUAAGAGAAUCGCAUGGAUUUCUUAUCAAAGCUCCGGCGGAAUGAGAUGGACCCACAUCUGAUCACCUAGUUGGAAAGGUAACGGCUUACCACGGCGACGAUCAGUAACCAACCUGAGACGAUGAUCGGCCACGUUGGAACUGAUACACAGUACAAACUCCUACAGAAGGCAGCAGUGGGGAAUAUUGCACAAUGGGCGAAAGCCUGAUGCACCCACACCCCGUGACCGAUGAAGGCCUUCGGGUCGCAUCGCUCUGUCCUCCUCGAACAUAAUGACGGAACUUGACGAGGAAGCCCCAGCUAACUACGUGCCACCACCCGCGGUAAUACGUAGGGGGCUAGCGGUAUCCAGAUUUACUGGGCGUAAAGGGUGGGUAGGUGGUUUCUUAAGUCAAGAGUGAAAGGCUGCGGCUCACCCGGUAGUAAGCUCUCGAAACUGGGAGACUAGAGUGCAGGAGAGGAAAGUGGAAUUCCAUGUGUAGCGGUGAAAUGCGUAGAGAUAUGGAGGAACACCAGUGGCGAAGGCGGCUUUCUGGUCUGUAACUGACACUGAGGUGCGAAAGCGUGGGGAGCAAACAGGAUUAGAUACCCUGGUAGUCCACGCCGUAAACGAUGAGUGCUAAGUGUUGGGGGUGGAACCUCAGUGCUGAAGUUAACGCAUCAAGCACUCCUCCUGGGGAGGACGGUCGCAAGACUGAAACUCAAAGGAAUAGACGGGGACCCGCACAACCGGUGGAGCAUGUGGUUUAAUUAGAAGCAACGCGAAGAACCUCACCAGGUCUUGACAUACCAUCGACCGUUCUCGAGAUAGGAUUUUCCUUUCUGGGACAAUGGAUACAGGUGGUGCAUGGUUGUUGUCAGCUCGUGUUGUGAGAUGUUGGGGUAAGUCCCGCCACGAGCGCAACCCCUGUCGUUAGUUGCCAGCAUUCAGUUGGGGACUCUAACGAGACUGCCAGUGACAAACUGGAGGAAGGGGGGGGUGACGUCAAAUCAUCCUUCCCCCUAUGACCUGGGCUACCCCCCUGCUACAAUGGUUGGUACAAAGAGAAGGGAAGCGGUGACGGGGAGCAAACCUCAUAAAACCAAUCUCAGUUCGGAUUGUAGGCUGCAACUCGCCUACAUGAAGCUGGAGUUACUAGUAAUCGCAGAUCAGAAUGCUGCGGUGAAUGCGUUCCCGGGUCUUGCACUCACCGCCCGUCA
rnacentral:rRNA from 1 species